rnacentral:lncRNA from 1 species
UUGGACGGUGUUGGAUGGCUCGUUUGGGCCCUCUUUCCCCGUCCAUGCUCUCUCCGUCCCUCCCCAAACCUUUUCGCCCGAUCACGCGGCCGCGCGCGCGCGGAGAUGGGAUGGGUGUUCGUCGGCGGGGUAGGUCACAUGCUCCCUGUCUGUGGGCCCCAUCCCCACCCUCCCUCGCCCCUUCGGUCGGCUCUGCGGCCCCACGUGCGCGGACCUCAGAUUGUGCCCCCAGCACGAAUAUUUCGGCAA